GAUGAACGCUAGUUACAGGCUUAACACAUGCAAGUCGAGGGGUAGCAGGGUAGCAAUACCGCUGACGACCGGCGCACGGGUGAGUAACACGUAUCCAACCUUCCCAUUACUCGGGGAUAGCCUUUCGAAAGAAAGAUUAAUACCCGAUAGUACUUUAUUAAGGCAUCUUAAGAAAGUUAAAGAUUUAUUGGUUAUGGAUGGGGAUGCGUUCCAUUAGAUAGUUGGUGAGGUAACGGCGCACCAAGUCUUCGAUGGAUAGGGGUUCUGAGAGGAAGGUCCCCCACAUUGGUACUAGGACACGGACCAAACUCCUACGGGAGGCAGCAGUGAGGAAUAAUGGUCAAUGGGCGAGAGCCUGAACCAGCCAAGUAGCGUGAAGGAUGAAGGUCCUAUGGAUUGUAAACUUCUUUUAUAGUAGAAUAAAGUGAACCACGUGUGGUUUUUUGUAUGUAUACUAUGAAUAAGGAUCGGCUAACUCCGUGCCAGCCGCCGCCGUAA
rnacentral:rRNA from 1 species